GGAGUGGUGACCGAGUCAGGCCGAAGGUGCUUCCCUGCUAAGGAAGUGAGGGUUCACGCUCUCCGAGGGUUCGAAUCCCUCCCACUCCGCCA
rnacentral:tRNA from 1 species